AGAGUUUGAUCAUGGCUCAGGAUGAACGCUGGCGGCGUGCCUAACACAUGCAAGUCGAGCGAUUUACUUCGGUAAAGAGCGGCGGACGGGUGAGUAACGCGUGGGUAACCUGCCCUGUACACACGGAUAACAUACCGAAAGGUAUGCUAAUACGAGAUAAUAUGCUUUUAUCGCAUGGUAGAAGUAUCAAAGCUCCGGCGGUACAGGAUGGACCCGCGUCUGAUUAGCUAGUUGGUAAGGUAACGGCUUACCAAGGCGACGAUCAGUAGCCGACCUGAGAGGGUGAUCGGCCACAUUGGAACUGAGACACGGUCCAAACUCCUACGGGAGGCAGCAGUGGGGAAUAUUGCACAAUGGGCGAAAGCCUGAUGCAGCAACGCCGCGUGAGCGAUGAAGGCCUUCGGGUCGUAAAGCUCUGUCCUCAAGGAAGAUAAUGACGGUACUUGAGGAGGAAGCCCCGGCUAACUACGUGCCAGCAGCCGCGGUAAUACGUAGGGGGCUAGCGUUAUCCGGAAUUACUGGGCGUAAAGGGUGCGUAGGUGGUUUCUUAAGUCAGAGGUGAAAGGCUACGGCUCAACCGUAGUAAGCCUUUGAAACUGAGAAACUUGAGUGCAGGAGAGGAGAGUAGAAUUCCUAGUGUAGCGGUGAAAUGCGUAGAUAUUAGGAGGAACACCAGUUGCGAAGGCGGCUCUCUGGACUGUAACUGACACUGAGGCACGAAAGCGUGGGGAGCAAACAGGAUUAGAUACCCUGGUAGUCCACGCCGUAAACGAUGAGUACUAGCUGUCGGAGGUUACCCCCUUCGGUGGCGCAGCUAACGCAUUAAGUACUCCGCCCUGGGAAGUACGCUCGCAAGAGUGAAACUCAAAGGAAUUGACGG
rnacentral:rRNA from 1 species